CGACAGAAUCACAGUCUCUUGGAUGUACUGGGAAGUGGAGGUUCUUCCUAACUUUGUGCACCUGUGGUUUUGAGUGAAAAAAAAUUACCAACAGUUUAUUAAGGUUAAUAGAAAGUAUUCUUUGGUCAACUACAAGUGACAAUAGAUGGACAAAUAUGGCUGAACUGUCUACUGAACGAGACAAGAAAAAGACCAAUUGUGACAAAAGUCAUUGUCAGAUUUGUAGACACUAAGGCUCAAAGCCAGGAACUGGUCAAUAGUUCUAUUCAUUACUGUGGAAAAGGGGAUGUUGGCCAUUGUCCUUGUCACUGAGUAUACUUGGUCCUACGGAGAAAGGGGUUUAGAAAAUCCAUCUGGCACCCUCUGGUCAUCAGUGAGGACUGGAAAGGCCAGAGAAUGCUGCGGUGUGCACAUGCUGGCUGCCACCAGGCUCUCUUCCCCAGUGCGGUCUACGGAAGGAACCUGAGUGGGAAUCCCCUGAAUCACAGACAACCAGAGUGAGUCAUCCCUUUCCAGCCUGCCAGGACCGAGGUGUCACCCUCCCGCACUGGCGGGCGGGGUGGGUUGGCCACUUCUCAAUCAGCAGCCCCUCCCUGCCGAGGCUCCCUGUCCCGUUCUCAACUCUGCAGGCCUGUUGUCAGAAUCUCUCUCUCACACACUCACACACAAAAUGCAUGCGUGAAAAUCCUCUGUAAGUGGCAGUCUGGAACUCGUGGGAGCACUUUAAUGCUGGACGCACGGGCAGGUGUUUGGGGAAUGGCUUAGCCUGUCAGUGCUAAGGGCUGCAGGCAGCUGCCUUCCCAGGAAGCAAGGUCUUUGUCCAGGAAAUCUCUUCUGGAUGCAGAGUGGGGCUGAGGUGGCCCUGAGCCCAGCACUCCCGCACGGUCCCCGAUGCUGAAAGGGUGAGUGAGUUCUGACCCUCCCCAGGGAGUCACUGCAAAAGGCAGGCGAAGCCUUCUUGUUUUUGCCCUGAAGAAGGAGGGGUGCAGUGCUGCAGGUGACCCUCUCUGCAGCAAGAACCAUUUCCUUCUGGGAUGCUGGUGGGUUCACAGGAUGGCCUUGGCCUCCCAGGCCCUGGGGGGAGAAACUCCUUACACCUGAGAGCGCGCUUAGCUGUGGGGCUGGAGGGAAGCCACGUGGAACCUGUAGGAGGGGACAGAGGCCAGGCAGGGGGUUUUCCACAGCUGCUCAUGGCAAACUCAAUCCCUCAGUUCAUGGAACCUGUAUUGGACGCAGGGUAGCCUCGCUGCUGUAUCCCAGGGCCGGGGGAGUUUGGGACGGGGGAUUUCCGACUCCAAACCAAGGAGGGAUUUCGCAGUGUGCUGUGAGCUCUGCUGGCCAAAGUACGGAUGGUUUAAACAUGUAACUUCAAAGCCUGCCUGGUAUGGGUUCCUCGGUCCCUGAAAAGUUCGCGUGGCUUCAGAUGAUCCCCGAGGUCCGGUGCCCAGUGUGCUAUGUGACCUGGGUAAGGAAUCUUGCCUCUCUGAGCCUGUUUCCUUUUCUGCAAAGUAAGGAGAGCCGUCCACAUUGCUGGGUGCUGGCAUGAGAGGAGACGCUGUCCUCAGGUAUUCAGAAAGCCCAUGUUCACCGGUAGAGUGUCCAUUUUGUCCAGACUCUCCUUUAGCAGAUAAGGAAGCGGCCCCUCCUCUGGUCACAUGCUUAGCAGCAGUGGUGGGGUCAACACUCUGCCCUCCUGGAGCUGCCCCCGCUUUUCUGGCCAAGACCACCGCCUCGUUUCUAGAUGUUUCCGUGUGUUUCCAAGUGCCAUACGUUGUGCAUUUUUAGUUUCGUUUGGUGGUAAAAUUGUCACGAUAUGAAAGUCACCAUUUAAACCAUUUUAAA